UACGUAGGGCGCAAGCGUUGUCCGGAAUUAUUGGGCGUAAAGAGCUCGUAGGCGGCUUGUCACGUCGGGUGUGAAAGCCCGGGGCUUAACCCCGGGUCUGCAUUCGAUACGGGCUGGCUGGAGUUCGGUAGGGGAGAUCGGAAUUCCUGGUGUAGCGGUGGAAAUGACGCAGAUAUCAGGAGGAACACCGGUGGCGAAGGCGGAUCUCUGGGCCGAUACUGACGCUGAGGAGCGAAAGCGUGGGGAGCGAACAGG
rnacentral:rRNA from 1 species